rnacentral:piRNA from 1 species
UCAGAUGAUAUAUCAAACUUGGUACAG